UGUGGUCAGCUGAUUCAUUGUGGUCCUCUGGUAUGUGUUUCGAUCUUAUUAGUCUUACAACAACAGAUGGUCCAGAAAAGAAUAAAAGACGGCAGUGAAGUUUGCUGAGACUAUUUUCCUUAAGCAGUUCUACAACACGGUCAACCGUGACCUUAAGAUGGAGUUCAACUCAAACAACACCUAUGAUAAUGACUCAGACGAGGGGUUAAUCCGAAUGUGUGAGGUCGAUAACUAUGAAAAAACGACCGGCGUGUGCUACGCCACAAUCUUCUGCCUCAGCAUGCUGGGAAAUGGCCUCCUCGUGUUUGCUCUCACCUGCUACGAAGACCUGAACAGGGCCACCAACCUUUUCAUGUUCUGUUUGGCUCUUUUCGACCUUCUGUUCACACUCACAUUGCCUUUCUGGUGCGUGGAGCUUCUUCAUCACUGGGUCUUUGGAGAUGUUGCCUGUAAGAUCAUGACCGGGGCCUAUUUCGUAGGCAUCUAUGGAAGCCUCAUCCUUCUCACCGCGAUGACCCUCGACCGUUUUGUUGUGGUAGUGGUCAGAAGUUACUGGUUUACACGGAGUCGAAGGCUCAAAUGUUCAAAGGCCGCCUGCAUUGGUGCAUGGAUCAUAAGUUUGAUUGCUUGUCUGAGAGAUUCAAUAGCCGCAAAGGCAGAAGAUGUACAUAUCAACAUAUACUCAUGUCAAAGUCCCAAUACAGUUAAUGACAAUGUCGGAUAUUACGCUCAGCUCAUUCUGCUGUUUCUUGUACCGUUUGCCAUCAUUGUUUUCUGUUACACCAAAAUAAUUUUGACCCUCAUGUCAACAUCGACCAGGCAGAAAUACAAAACUGUGAUUCUGGUGCUGUGCAUUGUUAUCGCUUUCUUCAUAUGCUGGGGGCCGUAUCAUAUCAUCAUUGUGUUGAUGUCCAUCUAUGGCUUUGAUCCCUGUGAACAUUAUCAGCUGCAUAUUGCAUUUAUCAUCUGCAGGAUUCUGGCGUUUUCCCACUGCUGCAUAAACCCGGCGCUGUAUAUUCUCAGAGGGAAGUACAGAAAUCUCUUGUCAAGUUUAUUGUUCUGCUCGCCUGAACUCAGGCAGUCGGGGCUCGACAGAGGACCAACAGAUCCCAGCGACUCCAGGAUUCAUCCGUACAUGAAUGAAGGAGCUCGAGAAAAUUGUGAAGUGCAACAAACAAAUGUCAGUGAGCUGAACAUACUGAAAACACUGUAAAAAUUGAGACCGUAAACAUGAUGAAUUUAUGUAGUCCUAGAAAAACAUUUUAAUUGGAACAGUCAGUUACAUUCUAUUUUUAGAAAAUCUUGUUUCCCACCUAAAAGUAUAUUGAUGAUAUUUUAUAUAUAUCACGAAUAUUUGUAAUUUUUUAAUUCAUGUAACAACAAAAAAGGUGUGUGUGUGUGUGUGUGUAUACUGUAUAUAUAUAUAUAAAUAUAUAUAAAUGUAUAUAUGGGACUGUAAAAAUUUCAAGCAAAACUUCAGCUUUCCUGAUUAUUACUGCAUUCUGUAUUAUUAGUAUUAGUAUUAGAAUUUAUAUUGGAAAAUUGUAUUUCUAUUUUGUUUAAUGAUUUUAAGAUGAAUGUAUCUGUUAAACGAAAAUGUGUGUUAACAUGUUUUAUGUAAAUAUGUGGGCUGGACAUUUAUGUUACUGAAAGCAGACAGAUUCUUCAGUGUCUCUAGGGGAGACAACACUGAUAAUUGAAGAAACAAACCGCCAGAUCAACCAAGACGAUAUAAUGCAUGGAGAUACUACGCAGGAGGUCUUCAAUAUCAGUUAUGAUUAUGACUUCAACCACAUAUAUGAGGAAUAUUAUCCUUUGGUGACAUUUGAGGAGGAGAAUCUUUCACUUAGGAUAAUGAG